GCCGCGUGAGUGAAGAAGGCCUUCGGGUUGUAAAGCUCUUUCGCAAGGGAAGAAACGGCGCGGGUGAANAACUCGCGCAACUGACGGUACCUUGAAAAGAAGCACCGGCUAACUACGUGCCAGCAGCCGCGGUAAUACGUAGGGUGCGAGCGUUAAUCGGAAUUACUGGGCGUAAAGCGUGCGUAGGCGGCCGCAUUAGUCGGAUGUGAAAGCCCCGGGCUUAACCUGGGAACGGCGUUCGAAACUAUGUGGCUAGAGUUCGGCAGAGGAAGGUGGAAUUCCGCGUGUAGCGGUGAAAUGCGUAGAGAUGCGGAAGAACACUAAUGGCGAAGGCAUCCUUCUGGGCCGACACUGACGCUGAGUCACGAAAGCGUGGGGAGCAAACAGGAUUAGAUACCCUGGUAGUCCACGCCCUAAACGAUGCCCGCUAGCCGUUGGGAUUUCGAUCUCAGUGGCGAAGCUAACGCGUUAAGCGGGCCGCCUGGGGAAUAC
rnacentral:rRNA from 1 species